UCCAAGAACCAAUCAGUUUGAGAAGGAACAAGGAAGGAAGGUAAACUAGUUUAAAUUGGAACUUAAUAAUGCCUGUGCUGUAAUCCCUUCCUAAUAUUACUGUCGGGUAAAAAAAUCGGAUAAUCUUUUGACCCAAGCUCAAUUUGAUUGCGUAAAGUAGCGCAUAAGAAAGAAAAGUAAAAAGUAGAAGUAAAUGAAGAGUGGUACAAAUUUUUAUUGAGAUGGCCAGAGAGAGAUUGGAAG
rnacentral:lncRNA from 1 species